rnacentral:rRNA from 1 species
CGGCAGGCUUCAUACAUGCAAGUCGAGGGGCAGCAUAAAUUACUUGUAAUUUGAUGGCGACCGGCGAACGGGUGCGUAACGCGUAUGCAACUUACCUUUUACUAGAGAAUAGCCAAGAGAAAUUUUGAUUAAUGCUCUAUGUUCUUAUUUACUCGCAUGAGUAAAUAAGCAAAGCUCCGGCGGUAAAAGAUGGGCAUGCGUCCUAUUAGCUUGUAGGUGAGGUAAUGGCUCACCUAAGCUCCGAUAGGUAGGGGUCCUGAGAGGGAGAUCCCCCACACUGGUACUGAGACACGGACCAGACUUCUACGGAAGGCAGCAGUAAGGAAUAUUGGACAAUGGAGGCAACUCUGAUCCAGCCAUGCCGCGUGAAGGAAGACGGCCUUAUGGGUUGUAAACUUCUUUUAUACAGGAAGAAACCUUUCCACGUGGGAAAGCUGACGGUACUGUAAGAAUAAGGAUCGGCUAA